GAUCAUGGCGUCAGGAUGAACGCUGGCGGCGUGCUUAACACAUGCAAGUCGAACGAAGUUAAGGAGCUUGCUUUUAAACUUAGUGGCGGACGGGUGAGUAACGCGUGGGUAACCUGCCUUUCACAGGGGGAUAACAGUUAGAAAUGACUGCUAAUACCGCAUAAGCGCACAGGACGGCAUCGUCUAGUGUGAAAAAACUCCGGUGGUGAAAGAUGGACCCGCGUCUGAUUAGCUAGUUGGUGAGGUAACGGCUCACCAAGGCGACGAUCAGUAGCCGGCCUGAGAGGGUGAACGGCCACAUUGGGACUGAGACACGGCCCAAACUCCUACGGGAGGCAGCAGUGGGGAAUAUUGCACAAUGGGGGAAACCCUGAUGCAAGCGACGCCGCGUGAGUGAAGAAGUAUUUCGGUAUGUAAGGCUCUAUCAGCAGGGAAGAAAAUGACGGUACCUGACUAAGAAGCCCCGGCUAACUACGUGCCAGCAGCCGC
rnacentral:rRNA from 1 species